AGAAAAUAAGAGAAAAGGUGUUCGUCGCCGAAAACUUGUUUGUGUGUGUCCACUCCAACUCUUCUCUCUCGCCUGUGUUGUGUGCUCGUGUGAGUUCGUUGUUUACACGAGUUCAUUAGUUUCUUGGGCCAAGCCAACAUCCUCGUCUGCACGACCUGCAGCCGCGCGCCCCGCGCCACCACAGCCCAUCAAUUUUUUUUGUUUGCUUUCACUGUUACUGUCAGUCUCAACAUCAUUAUCCUCUUCAAAGCUAUAUGCUUGAUCCUUUUUUGCUUUUCCAUCCUUCAGUUUUUACACGAAAGGCUGUAGUGGCGCAGGGCGCCGGAUGGGGAUGGUGCAGGGCGCUGGGGCUGCGGUGGAGCGGGGCGAGUCGAUCAGGAUCGAGGAGGAAGGAGAAAGGGGCGAGGAGAUUACAAGGAGGAAAGAGAAAGGGGCAUCACUCUUUUUUUCUGUUUUUAACGUGGUUCGUUACCACUCCGUUCCGCUCGUCUCCAAGCACGAUUAGAUGCUAAUCUAAAACCAAUCCGAUGGUAGAAACAGGUGGCAGCAUUUGUUUGAAAUGCUGUCGAAAAGCAUGGUAGCCUAUAUAUAUAUAAACUUUAGGCAUAUAAAAUUUAGACAUAUAAAUUUUAUACAUGCAAACUUU
rnacentral:lncRNA from 1 species